rnacentral:lncRNA from 1 species
AGGCACGCGCGGGAGCACGCCCGGGAGCGCGCAUGCGCAGCGCUGCUGGCCCGCUCUCUGAGGAGCUUUCAAUACUUUGGGGUCAAGUUUGAGGCAGUUGUAACUGUACUGAGUUUAGUUUUGCUAAUAAUGGUAUUCUACGUGUGUCAGCCUCGUGUGGACUUCUGUAAUGACUAAUGGAUAUGUUUAUAUCCUGAGCAUUUGCUGUAGGAAUUUUAAAUGCAAUCCCAAAACUCAAGAUUACCUUAUUUGGAGAAAUAUUCGUGUUACUAUGUUUAAAAUUUAAUAGAACCAUAUUUUACCUUUCACUUUGGGACUCGCACAGGAUGUUUGCAGCUCUUGAUAUACAGGAACUAGAACGUGUCUUUUAAGAGCAUGCGGUUUUAUAAUUACGUGGAAGUAUGCUACGCAAGGGAAAAAAGCCUCUUGCUAGUGUUAAGGGUCUUCAUAAACAGAAACCGCAAGGAACCUGGGAUCUGACAGCUGUUGGAGGAAUGCCUGUGAGGAAGGAGGAGGAACAGAAGAAUGCUUUGAUGUCUUAAAUGGUACAUCCAAACUUAAGUGAAAUAGAGCUGUGAGGACAUUUUGGGGAGAAGUGACCUAGAUAAGCACUGACUGUUGCAUUCAUCUCUCUUCUUGCUGAUUGUGAUGAUUUCCUGUGCCAUAGCCAUUCAAAGUCUGCCAAAAAAGAGUGGAGAAGGAGCAGUUUUUCCAUUUCCCUGAAAAGAAUUGAGUGAAGUUGACAGCAGGAUUGCAGAAGUGGGAGGACCCAAGAGCUAUGCCACGUGUACCUCCUGCCUGAUGUCUUCCCAGAUGUAUACUUCAGGAAGAAUUAAAUAUUCCUGCAAUUCUGGUUUCACAAAAUA